rnacentral:rRNA from 1 species
AGCGAGAAGACGUAGCAAUACGUUUGUAAAGCGGCGAACGGGUGAGGAAUACAUGGGUAACCUACCCUCGAGUGGGGAAUAACUAGCCGAAAGGUUAGCUAAUACCGCAUACGAUUCCCGGACUGCGGUUCGGGAAGGAAAGCGAUACCGUGGGUAUCACGCUCCUGGAUGGGCUCAUGUCCUAUCAGCUUGUUGGUGAGGUAAUGGCUCGCCAAGGCUUCGACGGGUAGCUGGUCUGAGAGGACGAUCAGCCACACUGGCACUGCGACACGGGCCAGACUCCUACGGGAGGCAGCAGUAAGGAAUAUUGCGCAAUGGACGAAAGUCUGACGCAGCGACGCCGCGUGGGGGAUGAAGGUCUUCGGAUUGUAAACCCCUUUCGGCAGGGAAGAUGGAAUGGGGUAACCCAUUCGGACGGUACCUGCAGAAGCAGCCACGGCUAACUUCGUGCCAGCAGCCGCGGUAAUACGAAGGUGGCAAGCGUUGUUCGGAUUCACUGGGCGUACAGGGAGCGUAGGCGGUUGGGUAAGCCCUCCGUGAAAUCUCCGGGCCUAACCCGGAAAGUGCAGAGGGGACUGCUCGGCUAGAGGAUGGGAGAGGAGCGCGGAAUUCCCGGUGUAGCGGUGAAAUGCGUAGAGAUCGGGAGGAAGGCCGGUGGCGAAGGCGGCGCUCUGG